rnacentral:rRNA from 1 species
AUUGAACGCUGGCGGCAGGCCUAACACAUGCAAGUCGAGCGGAUGAAGGGAGCUUGCUCCUGGAUUCAGCGGCGGACGGGUGAGUAAUGCCUAGGAAUCUGCCUGGUCGUGGGGGAUAACGUCCGGAAACGGGCGCUAAUACCGCAUACGUCCUGAGGGUGAAAGUGGGGGAUCUUCGGACCUCACGCUAUCAGAUGAGCCUAGGUCGGAUUAGCUAGUUGGUGGGGUAAAGGCCUACCAAGGCGACGAUCCGUAACUGGUCUGAGAGGAUGAUCAGUCAAAAUGGAACUGAAAAACGGUCCAGAAUCCUACGGGAGGCAGCAGUGGGGAAUAUUGGACAAUGGGCGAAAGCCUGAUCCAGCCAUGCCGCGUGUGUGAAGAAGGUCUUCGGAUUGUAAAGCACUUUAAGUUGGGAGGAAGGGCAGUAAGUUAAUACCUUGCUGUUUUGACGGUACCAACAGAAUAAGCACCGGCUAACUUCGUG